rnacentral:rRNA from 1 species
AUUGAACGCUGGCGGCAGGCUUAACACAUGCAAGUCGAACGAGUGGCGGACGGGUGAGUAAUGCAUGGGAAUCUAGCUUAUGGAGGGGGAUACAUUCGGGAAAAUGUAGCUAAUACCGCGUACCAUAGGAAGAGCCCAAGUGGGAUUAGGUAGUGGGUGGGGUAACGGCUUACCGACGCGACGAUCCCUAGCUGGUCUGAGAGGAUGCUAAGCCACACUGGGACUGAGACACGGCCCAGACUCCUACGGGAGGCAGCAGUGGGGAAUAUUGCACAAUGGGCGCAAGCCUGAUACAGCCAUGCCGCGUGUAUGAAGAAGGCCUUAGGGUUGUAAAGUACUUUCAGCGGGGAGGCGUUACCCGCAGAAGAAGCACCGGCUAACUCCGUGCCAGCAGCCGCGGUAAUUC